rnacentral:tRNA from 1 species
CGGGGCGUAGCUCAGUUUGGUAGAGCGCACGGUUCGGGGCCGUGAGGCCGGCAGUUCGAGUCUGCCCGCCCCGA